AGUGCUAAGCAGGGGUGGGGAGGAAGCAGCUGACCAGGCCCUGCAGUCAAUGACCAGUGAAGCUUGUCAGAGGGCACCCCUGGGUUACCCCUCACUCUCAGAGGCUUAGUAGUUGAGCAAGAGUUACACCCAAGAGUGUUUAAAUCAGGCAUUCUAGGUAGCUGGUCCCAAAGGCAACUGUAUACCAGAACCUCAGGGGCAGCAGAGAAGUUGCUUAAAAACAGUUUCAGGACCAGAGGGUUUCAUUGGUGUCUUCUCAUAAACAUGUAAAGAAGAAUUAACACCAAAUCCUUCUUAUUUGUCCAAAGGAUUCAAAUAAGAGGAAAUAUUUUCUUAACUCAUCCCAGGAGACCAGACUUACCCUGAUAUGGAGGCCCAAAAAAGACACCGCAAGAAAAGCAAACUACAGAUCACUACCUGCUGCAAACACAGAGGCAAAAGUCCUCAACAGGAUACCAGCAAAUCAAACUCGGCAGUGUGGAUUUCCUUUCUCUGUGUCACACAUUAAAAGUGGAGAAUCAUAAUGAUAAUCCCAUUUGGAUUUAUGAACAGUUGAAUAGACUAUUGAAAAGAUGCCUUAAUCAAGAAAUAAAUUCACUACAGAAUUGCAUUCAGGGUGGGACAACUACCUUUACCCAUGGAUUUUCUAUCGCUUCAGGGAAAACUCUUCGAUGUUUGAAUUAAGCACCACAUCUGGAAACAAAAGAAAACGAUUACUUUCACUAAGUGCUAUCUAUGUCUCUAGGACUAUGGACAAAAUUUGCUUACAUUCUGUCAAAAUUCCAUCCACUUUUGAAGAAUUCUACAAUCUGAGCUGAGGGCAGCCAAAUGGCUCUGUUCAUACAGUAUCUGUUGGAGUUGAAGCUCCCAAGAACACUUUACUUUCAUAUUCGGUGCCUCCCACUGGGAUAACAGGAACAGCUGACUGCCUGGCACCUCUGUCUCCAGGCAGCCUCUCUGUGUGGACAGCUCAGGCUUCUUCAUAGCAGGGUGAUCUCAAGGUAGUUGAGUUUUAAAAUGGUGGAUGGCUUCCAGGUGAGAGAAAGAGGAUGUUGCCAGUGCAUUUAAGGUCUGGGCUGAGAAGUACCAAAAACAUCGAUUCCUCUGAGUUCCACUUCCAACCUGUACUCUGUUGGUCAAAGCAGGUUACAGGCCAGGCUGGAGUCAAGGGAGAAGAAAUAGCGUCUACUUCUUGGUGGGAAGACCAGUAUGCACAUAUAGGGAGAGAAGAAUCAGCACUGGCCUUCUUUGGAGUCUCUCUGAGAAGGGGGAAGAUGAAGGAUGACACGGUCUGCUUGUCAGGUAGGAUGGUAUGAAACCCUGCUGCAGAGGUUAGGAAGGAUCUAGAAGACAUGGUAUAGACUCCAGAGCCUUCUAACUCUCCCAUCCCUGAUCACAAGGUCACAAAAGACAACACCUUAACCAUCCAACAACUUCCCAUCCACCAUAUUGAAGAACAGGAAGAGGCCAGAGAGCUAACUGGAGAGCCUGGGAAUGGGUCUUCAUGGCAAUCCCUGGACAGCACUGCAAUUUACUCCACAAGAAAGGCUCCAGGAAGGGCUGGAAAGUUGUAACAAAAUAAAGAAGUUGUAUUAGGUAAAAUUAAAAGAAGUUAGAAUAAUGGCACAUUCAGGGAUGGUGGUUACCUCUCCAGGAGAGAAGGGGAUGUGGAGUCCACAGGGAGCCUCGCCAUUCAGCUAAGCUUUUAUUUCUAAAGUUAGGGGUUGGAUGCAUAGGUGUUGUUGUAUUCUUUGUGCCUUUUUGUGUGUUAAAAAUAGUUCCUAAUGUAACUGUUAAAAGUAGUCAUUUCUGAAUAGAUUUGUGGGUCCCCAAUGCCAAGUUUAGGUCAUGACAUAUUGUAUGGGAGUGGGGACAUAGAGCAAGGCUUGAAAGAGGACUUAGAUUUACUUGUUAGGAGAGUCACCUGGUUGGCUUUGGACAGGACAAGAGCAGAGACAGGGAAACCAGUAAGGGGGCUGCCACAUAUGUCCAGUGGGGGGUGACAGUGGUCUGGCUGCCCUGCUGUGGUUGGGUGGGUUCAGAAGCAAAGUUGGGGGGCUGGGCACUUUCCAAGAUGUGGGGGGUGUGGGCAAGGCUUCUGGUUGAGUGAGGGGAUGGGUGGAGACCCCCAUUCCCCAUGACUGAGGCCAGAGAACCCAGGUGGAGGGUGUGUGCAGGGGGAAGAGUUCAAUGAGGGCAGGUUGACCGAUGUGUCAGGGGUGCAUGAGUGUGAACUCCAGGAACAAGUCUUGCAGACCUUAGCACUAAUGCAAACUGAAGCUGCAGGAGGUGAGGUACCUAAGGGAGAGUGGGUUGGAGAGCACAAAAGAGAACCAAGGACUUCCCGGGGGGCAGCAGCCUCUCAGUCUGAGGAGGGAAGCCCUCAGUUAUUUUUCAGACACCACUCACACUCCACAGAGUCCCUCCCGCCCCAUCUCUGUGGAAGGCAGUCCUCUCUCACAGACCUGACUGAAGUCCCUGCUGGGAGGCAGGAGGCCCAGUCACGCCUAGGCCUCUCCCCUUAAGGUCAGCCCUGAUGAAGGCCCUCUCCCAGUGUGAGCCGUGGUCUCCCAGGUCUGAGCCAGCUUCCCCCGGGAGAAUCCUGUGUUAAGAGACAAGGACAGCCAGAGGGUCGGAGCUGCUGAGGGGCAGUCAGGGACACGUGGGUGCCUUGCUUCCUUGGCCACUGGGUGCUCCCCUCCUGCCUGUAGCGCACCUUUCCAAGGUGACUGUCUUUCCCCUUCGCAUUCUGGUGGCCCUGGCACAGUGCUUUAUGUUUGGAUUUCCAAACUCUGGGCUCAUUGGAAAACUUGCAGCCCCUCACUGGCCCUCUGUUAGCAUUUCUCUCCCCUCAUCCCCUUCCUCUUUGAAGAAGGAAUAUGGUAUUAUUUCCUACGGGGUGGUUUGCUGGCAGUAACAGGAAGAUACAGAAGCUGGUCAGAGCAGUGUUGGUGGGUGGUGAGCUUGGAGGAGGAAGUGUACUGAAAAGGGAUUCUACCCUGGAUGGCCCCUUCUCUUUGGUCCCUUCCCUUGCUGUUGUAAUAAAUUUGUGUACCACCUGGGCACCCUCCCUUCUACCCUGAUGCUGUCUCCUUGAACCAGAGAUCUUUUUGUUUCUUAAAACUUGAGUUCUGAAUUAAAAUUUAGAUUCUGCCUUGGACAGAUACUUCUCUGAGCUCUCAGGAAAAAGUUUUCUGCCCUUCACUGGAAUUAAGGGAAUUUUGGGGAAAAACCAAAGCAAUAAUGUUGUAUUUCAGAAAUAUGAAUCUUUCAAAGCAUUUCUCCAAAAAAGCAGAUUUCAAUUAUGAUAGGAAAAUGGGUCGGUGGGGAUAUUACAGGGGUUUGGUUUGCCUAAAAACAACUCUGUAGACAAGAGGAAUAUAGCUAUGCAAUAAGAUAAGAAAGGAAAAUUCUCAUAGAGAAAACAUUUUAAUGAAUCACUCCAAACCGUCGUAGCAUCUACUCUAAGAUCUCAAAAUUGCUUCCAGGGUGAUUCACUUAUCAUACUUUGGAACUCAGCAGCAUAAACAGUGGCCUUCUGGUAUAAAAUACAUGCCAAGGCGAGCAGGCGCACACAGACAGGCACUACGCAUGCGCUCCGUCUCUCCACCAAUCGCGGGGCUUCCGCAGCCGGGGACCUCACAAGGCCAGAAGUACCUUCCUGUGCCCCUUCCCCGGCUGUGAGCGCAAGCCAUCCGAGGACAUCCGAGGACAUCCGAGCCAUCGAGGCAGCAGGCCUGCCCUGCCCUUUCCCGGGCUCCUCUGGCACCCUGCCCACCGCUCCUGUUUCUGGUUUCCUUCGCUUGAGCAUCUGAUGGGACUUGAUGCAUCCUCUGGCUCGAGGCUUGUUCUGGGUGGCAGCCCAGCUUCAGCCUGUCCAUGUCUGAGCCGGGGCAGCCCGGGAAGACUGGGGAAGGGUUUCGUACUGAAGUCCAGGAGCCAAGUUCCCCAGGACAUGUAUUUGAAUGAUAUUUGGGGUCUUCUGGAAAGAAGGGUUAAUUUAGAGAAAAAUUCAGGCAUUGGAGCCAGUGUCCUGCCCCGUGUGCACCCCACUGUCCCUCCCACCCAAGGCCGCCGGUGAUACUUGGGUGAUACUUUGGCUCCAUAGAUACAAAUGGCACCUCCUCUCCCCUGCAGUCAAAUUGAGCCACUUGUAUGAAACGUAGAAGAAAACUGCACACAGGGUUUCUGCAUGUCCCGUUGACUAACACAAGAACCCUUGUUCUGGUAAUGCCACUUGCAGGAGUCUCGCCAGGAAAAGCCUGGGAUAAAAAUAAUGGCAGCCGUCAUGCACGGGUGUUCACCCGAUUCUCACCCCAACCCUCCAGAGCCCUCCUGUCGUCUGUCGUCUGUCCCCGAGGCUGGCCUCGGGGACGGGUCUGGGCCCUCUGGGCCGCGGACCUUGUGUCCUGGGAGGGAGGAAAGUGACCUUGGGGUGAGUGGCACUGCAUGGCAGUGCCAGCCGGGCCUCCCACCUGCCCACGUCCCUCUGGAGCCCUUCCCUCCUCACAGGCCACCCCGUCUCACCUAUCCAUGUUCUCACGCUUUGGCAUUUCCUAGUAUAGCCCUGGAAAUACCCUCCUGCCCCUCUUGUCACAGAGUAUCCAAAAUGCAGCCUGGGGUCCUGCCUGGAACCCCUUACCUGGGGGCUCUUCGGAGGAGUCAGACGUCCUGCUCCACAGGGAGAGAAGGCGCCGGUGUGUAAGAUGUGUAAGAGUCCUAAACUGGGACCUUGUGGUCCGGUCCCAGUGGCACAGCAACCAGCAGUGUUGGAGCCACAGUGGGAUUUCUGAGGAAGGGAGUGACCGGAAGGAUGGUGGCAGAUUGGGCGAGGCAGCUAUCUAUAAUCCGGGAUACUUAAGAGGCUGAGGCAGGAGGGUGGCAAUUUCAAAGCCAGCCUGAGCAAUUUAAGAAAAAUUGGAGUGAGGGUGUGUGUCUGUUGGGGAAGUAGAGUGCUUGUCAUUACACACACAUACACACACACGCGCACACACACGCAGAUGGUGGGAAAAUUUGUUUGGCGGAUGUGGAAUCGCUGAAGAGGGUCCCAUCUGAGAGAUUUGUGGGAGUUACGAGGCGGGGAGCUCCAGCGCUGACCCGGAAUGCCCACCUGGGGUCCUUUCAGAGAGACCCCAGACACUCAGUAUCCUUCCCUGUCCUGUUUUCCUCAGACACAGACUUUAGUCUCGGGGAAAAUAUUCGAAACCUGAACUUUCAGGGCCAGAAUGCGUAGUCGUGUAUGAAGAGGGUCACAUGGAAGCGAUAACUACUGCACAGACUAUUUUAACUGCUGAAUCCGAAAUCUCCGUGCUGCAUUAUGAAAUAUGCAGGAAGGGAAGUAAACAGAUGACAGGAGUGGAAGAAAUCCUAAAGUAAUAUUUUCACAAACAGAUGCUGGCCCACAACACACCUUGGGGGCCAGGGAAGCUCCAGGGAUGCGCACCUCGGAGGGUGGAAGAAUUGGAAUAAAACUGCCAAGCAAGAGCUCGUCCUGGGGAUCCUGGUCAGAGCCCCUGACCGCCCAGCCACGGCCGUUCGCGCAGCCCCGGGUUAGAGAAACCCACAGACAAUCAUUUGAAAUCACUUCUAUCUUCUCUUCCAAAUACAGACAAGU